rnacentral:ncRNA from 1 species
UUAAUAGAGGCGCAAUACUUAUCAGUACCGAUUUCCGUAACGGAAUGAAGGAUUUCGGGAAAGGAAGUUUUGCCGAAACUUUGAAUUUUUGUCCGAAAGAUUCACUGUUGGGCUGCAAAGGAACACUUUGCAGACUGUCGCAAGGAAACUUGCGGAGAGCUAUUAC